rnacentral:misc_RNA from 1 species
GAUGAAGAACGCAGCGAAAUGCGAUAAGUAGUGUGAAUUGCAGAAUUCAGUGAAUCAUCGAAUCUUAGAACGCACAUUGCGCCCCUCGGUAUUCCGUGGGGCAUGCCUGUUCGAGCGUCAUUUAACCCCUCAAGCCUAGCUUGGUAUUGGGUGCUUGUCCCGCCUCUCGCGCGGCGACUCACCUCAAAGUCAUUGGCAGCCCGCAUCUCGCCGGCCGUGAGCGCAGCACAGACGCGCUCUUGGCAACGACGGAUCGGCUCUCCAAAAGCUUAUUUCAACCACUGACCUCGGAUCAGGUAGGGAUACCCGCUGAACUUAAGCAUAUCAAUAAGCGGAGGA